rnacentral:rRNA from 1 species
AACGAACGUUGGCGGCGUGGAUUAGGCAUGCAAGUUGAGCGUACCCAGCAAUGGGGAGCAGCGUAAGGGGCAGUAAGGCAUGGGUACCUACCCGAGGUUCGGGCAUAGCCUGUAGAAACACAGGGUAAUUCCCGAUGAUGUCGUAAGACCAAAGCUCCGGCGACCUCGGAGGGGCCCAUGUGAUAUUAGCUAGUUGGUGGGGUAACGGCCCACCAAGGCGAAGAUGUCUAGCGGGUGUGAGAGCACGACCCGCGCCACUGGCACUGAGACACUGGCCAGACACCUACGGGUGGCUGCAGUCGAGGAUCUUCGGCAAUGGGCGCAAGCCUGACCGAGCGACGCCGCGUGUGCGAUGAAGGCCUUCGGGUUGUAAAGCACUGUCGAGGGGGAGAAAAGCGAAAGCCUGAUCUAUCCCUGGAGGAAGCACGGGCUAAGUUCGUGCCAGCAGCCGCGGUAAAAC